AUUGAUUUUGUCGAUAGAUCAAGAUCUUCAAGAUUUAUAUUUUUUCAAAAUUUAAGCUGUCCGUUUCUUAAAAUUGAAGAAUAGCUGACUUGAUGAUAAUCCGUUAAAAGCGUCGUAUUUCUUAGAGUUUCCCUCGCUUCAUUUGUGCAUUUAAUAAUUUUUUAAUUCCUUGCCUGAUUAAGGUCAACUUUACCAUCGGCCCAUAUCAUUUUACAAUUUGUUUAGAUGUGUAUUUAAGCCAGCCUCAAAUUAUCAGCAAUGGAUCCAAUGGACUAAACUCAAGUCGAAUCUUCAUCAAUUGGGGGAAAAACGUUAACUGACUCUCUCGCUAGAGACCAGCGUGAGUUGAACAAGAUUAAUCGUAUUUUGGGCUUUGCUGAAUGCAACUUUUUUUUGGACUAAGAUCUACAUCAUCAAGGAAAACCAUGAAGGAGAAAGUGGAUGAAAAAUAAAGACAGAGACAAGAGAAAGGACCAUCAAAUGAAAUGAAAUAUAAAAAAACAACAGAAGAGAAGGAGACAGAGAAAUGAACUAAAAUCGUGUUUUAUACAUAUACAUGUUGUACAAUUGGAAAGUUUGGUUCAAAGGAAUAUUACUUGACCUGAGAAAGAUCAUUAGGAUGGUUUUCCAUUAGGCCGACAUUGUUUGAUGAAUUGUGUGAUUGAUGAACCGAUCAUGCUUACUGUAAAAAAAUUAGAAGAAUGAGAAAAGGAGAGAUCCUAAAAAAGCCAAGGUGCACUUGACCUUACCGUUGUUUUUUCGUCGAAUUGGUUCUCUUUUCUCUCUCUCCAUCUUCAUCAUUUAGACUGUCUCUAUCAUUUGUCCAGUCUCACUCAUCGCCUUCAAAACGAUAUUGAUAUAAACAGAGUCUCAGAUGAGGUGAAAAAAGGUACAAUUUCAAGUUAGCAAGGGAUACAAGCAAAUAUGAUCCAAGUCUACUGAAAAUCAAGUUUUACUCGUUUUUUACGUUUUAUUUUGUUCACCAUUAAUCUGUUGGCUCAACUCAAGGAAAGGUCAAUAAUUGUGUACACACACAAUUAAUUAUCAAUUGUCAUUACCAGAAGGUGACAAUCCAAUUUGUAUUACCGAACUCACAGUUGAAUUCAUUUGUACAAAGGCAAUGGCACAAGUUGGCUGGAAUCCAGAGAGAUUGUGUAUUACCAAGAAACAGAAAGAGAAAGUAACUUGCCAUGAUUGUCAUCUCAGAGUGUAAACAUGGUUGUUUUCAAGCGUAAUCACUGUAAUUAAUUAUAUACUCAGUGACAUGGAUCAUCAUUUAUACCCAUUAUCAAUAUUCAUAUUCAACAUUACUUAUGGAUAAAAAAGAAGAGACGUAAAGACAAAAGAGAAACAGCAAAUAGGAAAAAUGUUGAAGAUAAAAGGAAAUGCAAAUGAAAAUAUUGAAAGGAGCAAAAAAAGGUGAAAAGGCUAUCAAGAAAUGGAAAAAAGAUGAAAGCCAAAGCAGCAAAAAGUAGCAAAAUACUCAGUCUACAUCAAAGUCUCAAAGAUUCUGAAUCUGUUGUUUACAGUUAAAAAUGAGAAGGAAAGCAACAUGGUAGAAAGAUUAUUGGAAACAAUUGAACUAUGAAAAUGAUAACCUGCCAAUGCACACAGUUUGGUAUUACAAUAGUGGUCAGGGUAAAGUUGCCAAAAAAGGGUCAGUUUUGAGUUAAUUUUCAGGUUCCACCAUCUCGAGCAUAUUUAGUUUGUAGAGAUAAAAACAAAACUUCAAUAGAAAACUGAAAAAAAACAAAGUUCGAUCUUGGAACUUUCAUUUACUGUUAGAGAGUGACUAUGAAAAAAAUUCCGAUUUUGUUAACUUAACUCUGGCCACUACUGUAUUACAAAACACAAAACAUACACCAACUUAUAAAAAGUGAACAAUGGAUGAACAGAAGCUGCCUUGAUUGGUCAAGACGUAGUAAAUUUUGUUUCAAAAUUUCCAGUUAUGUUCAACAUCCAAGAAAAAGGUAACUGAUGAUGAUGCUGGCCUACAAAAAGGUUUACGAAAAAAAAUUUAACUACAUGAUGUAUCCAACAAUUUACCUUUUUACUUGGAUUCAUUUGAGCAGGAAAUAAUUCUCGAACCGGGAAUGGGAUUUGUUUUGUUUUCUCCCUUUACUCCCCUCUGGAUCCUUCAACUUGUUUGUUGUUGCUGCUGUUUUUUUAUUUUUAAGGCAAUUUCAUUUCAAAAUGACCUGGAAUUGCCAUUAGGUCAUUGACUGAACCAGUUUCAACUCCCUUCAACUCCCUUUUCAACUAUUUGUGUUAACUUUAUCUUUUGGCUUUUCUUUAAAAUGAUAACAGGCCAGCAAGGAGAGGAAGAAGAUGAAGAAGAAGAAGACGAUUUCAUGAUGAUAACUGAUAAGGAGUUUCAGCUUACUCUUUGUCUUUUCCAAUAAUCAACUUAAAGAAUGUGUUGGAGAUUAGGAGCCUUUCUAUAUUGAACGAUUAAAGACGAUAUGGACGAUAACAACAGGAAAACACCAAAGUGAAAUGUUUCUUGAUCUAAUCACGAAUUAGUUUGUCUCUUCUGUUGGAAAAGAGUAUCAUUUAAAGUGAAAGAAUCACCAAAAUUGUCUGAAACAGAUCAACAAUGGAUAAAAGAAAGGGAAACUCUUCAGAGCAUGGGAAAAGAUGAAAACUUGGAAAGAAAAAGGAAAAUUUUUCAACAAUUCGUCUCUUCUCUUUCUACCUUCUUCUUGCUGCUUCUUUACCUGUUUCUUGUUGUUGGAUGAAAAUGACUCCAUCGUCAAUAAAAAGACACCUUGGGAGUGAAAAUAGAUUGACAAGGAGUAUAAUUUACUCUCAAAUAAUUUAUCAUGCUGAUGCAUUAUAAAUUAAUAUGUUGUAAAUAGAUUAUAGUCAGAUCUAACAGGAUUGGUGCCGAAGGAAAGAGAAGAAAAAAAUGAAGAAGAUGAAAAUGAUGAGUAGGAGGAAGAAGAAGAGGAAGAGAGGCGAAAAGAAUCGAGGAUCCAUAAUGAUGCUACUUUAGAUUGGUAGUGAUGGAAGGAGAAAAUUGUAAAAAGGUUAAAGAGGAAAAGUGAAUUAUAAAGAAGCAAAAGAAGGAGCCAACUUUAAACUCUAUUAACAUAUUCUAGGAUGAAACAUUCUACCUGAUGAUUGCAACUCUAUACUAUUAAUCUUUUAAAUUAAACAAAAUACAGGAGCAGGUUCAAUGGUUAAGGUAAACUAAACGGCAAGGAGAAAGAGGCAAGGAAAAGGCAAUCCAUAUAAUGAUGAUGAUGAUAAUCAUAUUAAGUCAAUCAUCUCAUCAAUUAACUAAAAGGCAUAUCAAUUAAUUUUAUUGAAGCAACAUCAAUCAGUUGGACAAUCGCAAAAUGAUCAGGAUCAAUUAAGGGUGGCAAUUUAAUUUCUUUCCAAUCGUAAAUUAGUUGCGUUUUAGGAUUGGAUUCAAUUGGGUGGUGACUGUGAUUAAAGAAGGAAAAGGAACAUAUAAUCAAUGAAGAAGACGAUUAAAGACGAUGAGGAAGAGCAAAGAAAGGAAAUGAAGAAAAGAAUUGGAACCAACACUUGCAAUGAAAAGGACUGAACACGAUGAUGAGAAAAGAUUGAAGGAAGAUGAGCCCAAUGAAUGAAUCAAAAGUAUCACAGUUUUACAGCCAACGCCGUCAAUAACAUGAAACAUGGUAAAAAAACCAAACUGAUACAAGCUGGAAACAACAACAAUAACAGUAAAAAAACAUAACUAUGAAUAAGACUGUCUAUGAGUAUCCAUUGGGUGAAUGUUGUUUUUUUUAUAUUUUGAAUCAGAAUUUCAAGUGAAUGGUAAAAAAUGACCGCAAAACAGGAAACCAAAUAAGUCAUUGGACAAAACACUGAUUAGCAAAUUGUUCUUAGUCGCAAUGAAAUGGUGAAGCUCCACUAAUGAUUGAAACAAGUUGAUGAUGAUUGUCAUGAUAAUGUUGAUGAUGAGAAUCAUGUCGAUACUGGUUUCUCUCCAUUUUAAUCGUUGACCGUUUCCAUUAAUUUAAUCUUAUUCUACAUUCGAUUCCUGAUUUUUUACUCAACCAAUAUUUGACACAUUAACUUACAAUGAGGUUCCAUUGAAGUUUACUAAUAAUAAUUGUAACCAAAGCCAUCAUCAUUAUCAUUGGACAAGUUUAUUCAACUUUCAUGUUUUCUGACAAUCAAGGUUCAAUCAUUAAGAAUUGCUUUCAGUAGCAUUUUUUGUCUGUUUAAUCAAUGCUGAUCAUCAUUCAAUCAGCUUAUCAUUUGCUACCGCAAAAACUUCUGUUAACUUUCCCAUUUUCUUGCCUCAACUAAACCCAAAUUAAUGUAACAACUAAUGAAAUUCACUCUCUGAAUCUCUUUCCUUGCGAUAAUUAUCUUGACAAUAUUAAUCUUGAUUACUUUUAU